rnacentral:rRNA from 1 species
AAGCGCUUGUGACCAGACUUGGGCUUGGUAGAUCCUCUAGCGUUCUCGUUAGGGUACUCUGCCUAGUUCAGGCCAGCAUCGGUUUUCCUAGGGGGAUAAAAGCUCUGGGAACGUAGCUCUUUCGGGAGUGUUAUAGCCCACUGCAAAAUACCCUUGGGGGGACCGAGGACCGCGUUCGCAAGGAUGCUGGCGUAAUGGU